GACGAACGCUGGCGGCGUGCUUAACACAUGCAAGUCGAACGGAAAGGCCCUGCUUUUGUGGGGUGCUCGAGUGGCGAACGGGGGAGUAACACGUGAGUAACCUGCCCUUGACUUUCGGGUAACUUCACGAAACUGGGGCUAAUACCGGAUAGGAGCUCCUGCUGCGUGGGGGGCGUUGGAAAGUUUCGGCGGUUGGGGAUGGACUCGCGGCUUAUCAGCUUGUUGGUGGGGUAGUGGCUUACCAAGGCUUUGACGGGUAGCCGGCCUGAGAGGGUGACCGGCGACAUUGGUACUGAGAGACGGAGCAGACUCGUACGGGAGGCAGCAGUGGGGAGUAUUGCACAAUGGGCCGAAGUCUGUGGCAGCAACGCUGGGUGCGGGAUGCCGGCUUUCGGGUUGUAAACCGCUUUCGCCUGUGACGAAGCGGGAGUGACGGUAAUGGGUAAAGAAGCACCGGCUAACUACGUG
rnacentral:rRNA from 1 species